GGGCACCUGGCGCAAUGGUAGCGCGUUUGGCUUCGACCGCCUUCUGUCCCCUUGCGGACACGUGACCAAAAGGCUGCAGGUUCGAGUCCUGCGGUGCUCA